UAGAUAAUCUUUAAUUUCUUCAUUUCUUCCC
rnacentral:piRNA from 1 species